rnacentral:rRNA from 1 species
UGGCGGACGGGUGAGUAAUGUCUGGGAAACUGCCUGAUGGAGGGGGAUAACUACUGGAAACGGUAGCUAAUACCGCAUAACGUCGCAAGACCAAAGAGGGGGACCUUAGGGCCUCUUGCCAUCGGAUGUGCCCAGAUGGGAUUAGCUAGUAGGUGGGGUAACGGCUCACCUAGGCGACGAUCCCUAGCUGGUCUGAGAGGAUGACCGGCCACACUGGAACUGAGACACGGUCCAG